UACGUAGGGUGCGAGCGUUGUCCGGAAUUAUUGGGCGUAAAGAGCUUGUAGGCGGUUUGUCGCGUCUGCCGUGAAAAUCCGGGGCUCAACCCCGGACUUGCGGUGGGUACGGGCAGACUAGAGUGUGGUAGGGGAGACUGGAAUUCCUGGUGUAGCGGUGAAAUGCGCAGAUAUCAGGAGGAACACCGAUGGCGAAGGCAGGUCUCUGGGCCACUACUGACGCUGAGAAGCGAAAGCGUGGGGAGCGAUCCGG
rnacentral:rRNA from 1 species